UACGUAGGGUGCAAGCGUUAAUCGGAAUUACUGGGCGUAAAGCGUGCGCAGGCGGUUUUGUAAGUCUGAUGUGAAAUCCCCGGGCUCAACCUGGGAAUUGCAUUGGAGACUGCAAGGCUAGAAUCUGGCAGAGGGGGGUAGAAUUCCACGUGCAGCAGUGAAAUGCGUAGAGAUGUGGAGGAACACCGAUGGCGAAGGCAGCCCCCUGGGUCAAGAUUGACGCUCAUGCACGAAAGCGUGGGGAGCAAACAGG
rnacentral:rRNA from 1 species